rnacentral:rRNA from 1 species
AGAGUUUGAUCCUGGCUCAGGACGAACGCUGGCGGCGUGCUUUAUACAUGCAAGUCGAACGAUGAAGUUCCUUCGGGAAUGGAUUAGUGGCGAACGGGUGAGGAACACGUGAGAAACCUGCCUUUCAUUCUGGGAUAACACCGGGAAACCGGUGCUAAUACCGGAUACUCCAUCUUGGCGGCAUCGCCGAGCUGGGAAAAAAUUUUGAUGAAAGAUGGUCUCGCGGCCUAUCAGCUAGUUGGUGAGGUAAAGGCUCACCAAGGCGACGACGGGUAGCCGGCCUGAGAGGGCGACCGGCCACACUGGGACUGAGACACGGCCCAGACUCCUACGGGAGGCAGCAGUAGGGAAUAUUGGGCAAUGGGCGAAAGCCUGACCCAGCGACGCCGCGUGAGGGAUGAAGGUCUUCGGAUUGUAAACCUCUUUCAGUAGGGAAGAAGCGAAAGUGACGGUACCUAAAGAAGAAGCACCGGCUAACUAUGUGCCAGCAGCCGCGGUAAUACAUAGGGUGCAAGCGUUGUCCGGAAUUAUUGGGCGUAAAGAGCUCGUAGGUCGUUUGUCGCGUCGAUUGUGAAAAUCUGAGGCUCGACCUCAGACCUGCAGUCGAUACGGGCAAACUAGAGUGUGGUAGGGGAGACUGGAAUUCCUGGUGUAGCGGUGGAAUGCGCAGAUAUCAGGAGGAACACCAAUGGCGAAGGCAGGUCUCUGGGCCAUAACUGACACUGAGGAGCGAAAGUGCGGGGAGCGAACAGGAUUAGAUACCCUGGUAGUCCGCACCGUAAACGGUGGGCACUAGUUGUGGGAACCUUCCACGGUUUCCGCGACGCAGCAAACGCAUUAAGUGCCCCGCCUGGGGAGUACGAUCGCAAGAUUAAAACUCAAAGGAAUUGACGG